rnacentral:rRNA from 1 species
UACGGAGGGAGCUAGCGUUGUUCGGAAUCACUGGGCUUAAAGGGCGCGUAGGCGGGCUGUCAAGUCUGGGGUGAAAUGCCGCGGCUCAACCGUGGAACUGCCUUAGAUACUGACGGCCUCGAGGGAGAUAGGGGCAUGCGGAACUGUAGGUGGAGCGGUGAAAUGCGUUGAUAUCUACAGGAACUCCGGUGGCGAAAGCGGCGUGCUGGAUCUCUUCUGACGCUGAGGCGCGAAAGCUAGGGGAGCAAACGGG